rnacentral:rRNA from 1 species
UACGUAGGUGACAAGCGUUGUCCGGAUUUACUGGGCGUAAAGAGCGCGCAGGCGGUCGAUCAAGUCGAGUGUGAAAGCCCCCGGCUCAACUGGGGGAGGGUCAUUCGAUACUGAUCGACUCGAAGGCAGGAGAGGGUAGUGGAAUUCCCGGUGUAGUGGUGAAAUGCGUAGAUAUCGGGAGGAACACCAGUGGCGAAGGCGACUACCUGGCCUGUUCUUGACGCUGAGGCGCGAAAAGCUAGGGGAGCAAACGGG